UUGAAUAAGAAUUGCAUAGUAAAAUAAUUUCUUUUUGAAUUCAUUUGUUAGAAGAAGAAAAAGGAAGAAAGAUAGUUCAGCAAAAGAAAGCUGCUCCUGAAGUUAAAAAGAAAGGUAUGAUAUUUAUUGUUUAAAGUCUUGCCAUUAAUAGUUGCUCUUCAAAAGGUUUUCUUAAGAUAACAUUCUAAUUCAUCAUUUUUAUUAAUUUUCUUAGAAGUGGAGGAGAAGAAAAAAGUGACUCAUGAGAAGAAAAUUAUUCCUGCAAUUAAAAAGAAAGAUGUGGAAGAAGAAAAGAAGGUUACUCAUGAGAAGAAAGUUGUUACUGAAACAAAAAUGAAAGGAAAAAAAGAGGAAAGCAAGCAAGCCGUCCCUGAAGUUAAAAAACCAGAAAAGAAAGAAGCUGUUUUGACAAAAGAUGCAAAAAAGCCAGCAAAAGCUCCUGCAGCCCAAGACGGUUCUAUAAAAGUAACAGCACCAGAACAUCACAAGAAAGAAAAGCCAGUAGAAACAGCCAAGAUCUCAAGGAAGGAUGUACCUGUAAAAACGUCUGUGAGAGAAGAAACUCAUAAAGUAGCUGAACGAGUCAAAGCAGAGCCUACUGCAGCUUUGGCAAAAAAAGAGCUUUCCAAAGAAAAAGCAAUAAAGCAUCAUGCAGCAUUGAAAGAAAAAGAUGUUUCAAAAGAAAAAAUGAGAUACCCAGCUGUUAAGGAAAAGAAACAAGAUGUUCUUAGGCAUGAGAAGGAAGAACCUCAUGGAAAAGCAGAACCACCAGCUGAAAUCACAGUAGCAGACAAGAAAAAAGCGGAAAAACCUGUGAGAGAAAAAGAAGGAAAAAUAACAGAGAAGGCUCAUUUGAAAGAAAAAAAAGCUAAAGUCCCUGCAAUUAAAGAAGCCCACCACCAUCACAAUGUGACAACAGGCAAGACAGUAAAAGCAGCAAGACCAAGUCCUGUCCGCUAUUACCAAUGUGUCUUCGUAAAUGGAUACAAUGGGCUUACUUCCAAAUACCCUGUUACGCCAGCUCAAGACUACAAAGAGAAAGCUGGACAAUCGAAGGCUUUGGGGCAUAAGACCAAGACACUCAAACAAUAA
rnacentral:lncRNA from 1 species